GAAAUAGCAAAGUUAAAAUCAACAGAUCAGCGGGCCUGAGAGACAGAUUUUAUGUCAGGGCAAGGAAGACAGAGCUGGUAAUAUUGUGAAGGCAAUUAUAGAUGCAAGAUGAGAUUUUUGGAUAAAUAGUCAAGGCUGGAAACAGAUUUAGGCAUCAUUCCCACAGAGGUGAUAAUUGGACAGUGGGAGGUGAUGAGAACACCAAGGAAAAGAAUGUAUAAAAAGAAAAGAAAGGACAAGAGAAAGGUUGGAGACAAAACUCUAGAGAAUGCCUUCACUCAGGAGGCAGACAAGGCAGAGGAGCCCGCAAGGGGCAGAGGCCAGGCAGCCAGGGCCGGGGGAGGCAGGAAGGUCAAAAUCUGGAGGUCCAGGAAGGCGGAUUUCACAGAGAGGAGCAGCUGAUGGCUGGGAGCAAGUGCUGCAGAAACAAGUCCUGUCCUGUGCCCACUCCUCCUGAGGAAGACAGUCUACUUGACAUUACUGCUUGGAUCAGCUAUCAUUGGAUUUAAAGCUCCAGAAUCUGCCUCCUCAAUUCUGGCUGACAGAUAGAAACCAGCUCUCCACUGAGCCAGGAUGUAUUUGGCUGGCUCCAAACCCAAAGCCCUUCUAGUUUCCCUGUGAUCAUCAGGGGCCUUGAAUUGCCUCCCCUCUUUUCCAGUGUAGACCUCUUCAUGAAUCCUACCCUACAUAUGGCCCCACAUUACCUGAGGAUAUAGAAUAAAUAAAUAAAAUCCUUUUUGAUUUGUUUGUA